GACGAACGCUGGCGGCGCGCCUAACACAUGCAAGUCGAACGGAGCUUAGAGAGCUUGCUUUUUAAGCUUAGUGGCGAACGGGUGAGUAACGCGUGAGUAACCUGCCCUAGAGUGGGGGACAACAGUUGGAAACGACUGCUAAUACCGCAUAAGCCCACGGUACCGCAUGGCACUGAGGGAAAAGGAUUUAUUCGCUUUAGGAUGGACUCGCGUCCAAUUAGCUAGUUGGUGAGGUAACGGCCCACCAAGGCGACGAUUGGUAGCCGGACUGAGAGGUUGAACGGCCACAUUGGGACUGAGACACGGCCCAGACUCCUACGGGAGGCAGCAGUGGGGGAUAUUGCACAAUGGGGGAAACCCUGAUGCAGCAACGCCGCGUGGAGGAAGAAGGUUUUCGGAUCGUAAACUCCUGUCCUUGGAGACGAGUAGAAGACGGUAUCCAAGGAGGAAAGCCCCGGCUAAACUACGUG
rnacentral:rRNA from 1 species